AAAUUGAAGAGUUUGAUCAUGGCUCAGAUUGAACGCUGGCGGCAGGCCUAACACAUGCAAGUCGAACGGUAACAGGAAGCAGCUUGCUGCUUCGCUGACGAGUGGCGGACGGGUGAGUAAUGUCUGGGAAACUGCCUGAUGGAGGGGGAUAACUACUGGAAACGGUAGCUAAUACCGCAUAACGUCGCAAGACCAAAGAGGGGGACCUUCGGGCCUCUUGCCAUCGGAUGUGCCCAGAUGGGAUUAGCUUGUUGGUGGGGUAACGGCUCACCAAGGCGACGAUCCCUAGCUGGUCUGAGAGGAUGACCAGCCACACUGGAACUGAGACACGGUCCAGACUCCUACGGGAGGCAGCAGUGGGGAAUAUUGCACAAUGGGCGCAAGCCUGAUGCAGCCAUGCCGCGUGUAUGAAGAAGGCCUUCGGGUUGUAAAGUACUUUCAGCGGGGAGGAAGGGAGUAAAGUUAAUACCUUUGCUCAUUGACGUUACCCGCAGAAGAAGCACCGGCUAACUCCGUGCCAGCAGCCGCGGUAAUACGGAGGGUGCAAGCGUUAAUCGGAAUUACUGGGCGUAAAGCGCACGCAGGCGGUUUGUUAAGUC
rnacentral:rRNA from 1 species